CCCUUAGAUGUCCUGGGCCGCACGCGCGCUACACUGAUGCAUUCAACGAGUGUACCUUGGCCGAGAGGCCUGGGCAAUCUUUUGAACGUGCAUCGUGAUAGGGAUAGAUUAUUGCAAUUAUUAAUCUUGAACGAGGAAUUCCUAGUAAACGCAGUUCAUCAAACUGCAUUGAUUACGUCCCUGCCCUUUGUACACACCGCCCGUCGCACCUACCGAUUGGAUGGUCCGGUGAAGCCUCGGGAUUGUGGCGGUUGCCUUUAUUGGUGGCCGCCGCGAGAACUUGUCUAAACCUUAUCAUCUAGAGGAAGGUGAAGUCGUAACA
rnacentral:rRNA from 1 species